rnacentral:rRNA from 1 species
GGUUUGAGAGGAUGAUCCGCCACACUGGGACUGAGACACGGCCCAGACUCCUACGGGAGGCAGCAGUGGGGAAUUUUGGACAAUGGGCGCAAGCCUGAUCCAGCCAUGCCGCGUGUUUGAAGAAGGCCUUCGGGUUGUAAAGGACUUUUGUCCGGGAGCAAAUCCCAGUGGUUAAUACCUACUGGGGCUGAGAGUGCCGGAAGAAUAAGCACCGGCUAACUACGUGCCAGCAGCCGCGGUAAUACGUAGGGUGCAAGCGUUAAUCGGAAUUACUGGGCGUAAAGCGUGCGCAGGCGGUUGUGCAAGUCUGAUGUGAAAGCCCCGGGCUUAACCUGGGAACGGCAUUGGAGACUG